AUGAUCAAGCUACAAAGGGCAUAUGGUGAAUGCCUUGGCACCAGUAGCCGAUGAAGGACGUGAUAAGCUGCGAUAAGCUUCGGGUAGG
rnacentral:rRNA from 1 species